AGGCGGCGGCCGCGGAGCGCGGCGCCCGGGAGCGCCUCCGCGGGAAGUGAGCGGACGGCCUCUGCGAGGCGAGUGCAGUUGAGCUGAUGUGGAUCUUACGUCGCUCGAGUGCCCACCUCCUCGUCCUCUCCCCAUUUGUCCGCCGCACAAAGACGCUCGCACCUACAAAGCCCGAGGUGCACCUGCGAGGCGGCCGCCCGCCAGUGCCGCCGCCGCGCCUCCCGCCCCGCCGCCGCGCGCGCCCCCCGCGCCCCUCCCGCCGCGCCCCCUCCCCCAGACCCGGCCCUCACUCUGUUUGCAAAGCAGCGUAAUUGGUUUAAGCCCGGAGGUUGGGGGAAGAGGGAAAUGGGGUGGGGGGGUGUAACCCCCUUUGGAAAAGGAAAAAAGAAAAAUAGGCGGGGCCGGGCGGGCUGGCGAGGGUUCUGGAUGGGAACCGCGCAGCCGGAGAAGGGCUAGGGGCGGUGGUGUUGGAGCCCGGCUCGCGGGGCAGUGCCGGCUGAAUGACCCCAGCGUCUCUCCCCAGGGGGACCCACCGCCCUCCCGAGGCCCGGGCUGCGGGCUCGGCCCGCACCCCUCCUUCUGUUCUGGCCGCUUCCAGCCCCCACCCUCCUGAUUCCUGACCUAAAGUUCAACCCCGGGAGACUGGAGUAUACGGAUCCUCCCCAUAACUCCCCCCCCCCCCCCCCCGCCUCGCCCCUCUCCUGACUUCAGGCUUGAAAAAGGAAAAAGCCCCACUUUUGCCCCGUCACUAGAAACUCGGCCAUCUGAGUCAGCCGAGCCGAGUGACGUUAGGCCGAUCCGGGAUCCUGGCUAGCAGAGUGGAGACGCUGCCACGAAACCCAUACCUGCGGCUAAGAGCAGUGAUUCUCCAACGCCCUCUUGGCUCUUCAACAACGUCGAGCAUGACUAGGGUAUUUUCUAUGGCCCACUUCCCAAACCUACUAGGCCUCAUCUUAAGAAAAAAAAAAGUCAACUUGAAAAAAAAAAGCCCAUGUUCAUAGCGGAAUGGCCAAAGCGAAGUUUCUCCACGGCUUCUUCAAAGUCCAAGACCGGUAGUGAAGAGUGGACUCUGCCAGCUUUAGCCUCGACCCAGCUUGGGGGGUCCCGGGUCCGCGGCCCCAGGAGUUCCUGUGAGCACAGCGCCUCCUGUCGUGGGGAAGGAAUGUUGAGUCCGCCCACAGGCGCCCCCGGCGAGCAACGCCAGGCGAGCCUAGAACUCCCCAUGCCUCGCUCAGCCAGAGAUUUGGGUUCAGAGAGGUGACCGCCAGAGGCCAAGAGGAAGGAAAAGUGGCAGCUCCGUCAGCUCCCAGCCUCUCUCCAUCUCGGUGGCAAUGACGUUCCAAGACACCUAAGAAAUUUCGGAGGUGAAGUUCUGGUGUACCCAGAUGCCAGCCGGUCAUUUCCCCGAGGUUUAAAAGCGAAUCAUCAGGGCCAUGCAGGAUCUUUGAUUUUGAAAAUAAACAACAAAUAAAUAAAACAAA